rnacentral:rRNA from 1 species
UGGGGAAUAUUGCACAAUGGGCGCAAGCCUGAUGCAGCAACGCCGCGUGAACGAUGAAGGUCUUCGGAUCGUAAAGUUCUGUUGCAGGGGAAGAUAAUGACGGUACCCUGUGAGGAAGCCCCGGCUAACUACGUGCCAGCAGCCGCGGUAAUACGUAGGGGGCUAGCGUUAUCCGGAUUUACUGGGCGUAAAGGGUGCGUAGGUGGUCUUUCAAGUCGGUGGUUAAAGGCUACGGCUCAACCGUAGUUAGCCUCCGAAACUGGAAGACUUGAGUGCAGGAGAGGAAAGUGGAAUUCCCAGUGUAGCGGUGAAAUGCGUAGAUAUUGGGAGGAACACCAGUAGCGAAGGCGGCUUUCUGGUCAUCAUCUGACGCUGAGGUACGAAAGCGUGGGUAGCAAACAGG